ensembl:lncRNA
UGCCCGCGGAGUACCUCGACCUGAAGGAAGUGUUCAUUCCUGUGCCAUCCUCUCCUGCUGCCUUCUCACCGUCAUCAUCCGGAUUCCUCACCACCUCACCACCAUCUUGGAUUUUUGUCUUCCCAGCAUCAUUGUCUUUUCCCUGUUUGUUUAUUUA